GAUGGAGGGACGGAGAAGGCUAGGCCAGCUUGGCGUUGGUUGUCCAAGUUUAAGGUGGUAGGCUGAAAUCUUAGGUAAAUCCGGGGUUUCAAGGCCGAGAGCUGAUGACGAGUCGUCUUUUAGAUGACGAAGUGGUUGAUGCCAUGCUUCCAAGAAAAGCUUCUAAGCUUCAGGUAACCAGGAACCGUACCCCAAACCGACACAGGUGGUCGGGUAGAGAAUACCAAGGCGCUUGAGAGAACUCGGGUGAAGGAACUAGGCAAAAUGGCACCGUAACUUCGGGAGAAGGUGCGCCGGCUAGGGUGAAGGAUUUACUCCGUAAGCUCUGGCUGGUCGAAGAUACCAGGCCGCUGCGACUGUUUAUUAAAAACACAGCACUCUGCAAACACGAAAGUGGACGUAUAGGGUGUGACGCCUCCCCGGUGCCGGAAGGUUAAUUGAUGGGGUUAGCGCAAGCGAAGCUCUUGAUCGAAGCCCCGGUAAACGGCGGCCGUAACAAUAACGGUCCUAAGGUAGCGAAAUUCCUUGUCGGGUAAGUUCCGACCUGCACGAAUGGCGUAACGAUGGCGGCGCUGUCUCCACCCGAGACUCAGUGAAAUUGAAAUCGCUGUGAAGAUGCAGUGUAUCCGCGGCUAGACGGAAAGACCCCGUGAACCUUUACUGUAGCUUUGCACUGGACUUUGAGCCUGCUUGUGUAGGAUAGGUGGGAGGCUUUGAAGCGUGGACGCCAGUUCGCGUGGAGCCAUCCUUGAAAUACCACCCUGGCAUGCUUGAGGUUCUAACUCUGGUCCGUAAUCCGGAUCGAGGACAGUGUAUGGUGGGCAGUUUGACUGGGGCGGUCUCCUCCUAAAGAGUAACGGAGGAGUACGAAGGUGCGCUCAGACCGGUCGGAAAUCGGUCGCAGAGUAUAAAGGCAAAAGCGCGCUUGACUGCGAGACAGACGCGUCGAGCAGGUACGUAAGUAGGUCUUAGUGAUCCGGUGGUUCUGUAUGGAAGGGCCAUCGCUCAACGGAUAAAAGGUACUCCGGGGAUAACAGGCUGAUACCGCCCAAGAGUUCAUAUCGACGGCGGUGUUUGGCACCUCGAUGUCGGUUCAUCACAUCCUGGGGCUGAAGCCGGUCCCAAGGGUAUGGCUGUUCGCCAUUUAAAGUGGUACGCGAGCUGGGUUUAGAACGUCGUGAGACAGUUCGGUCCCUAACUGCCGUGGACGUUUGAGAUUUGAGAGGGGCUGCUCCUAGUACGAGAGGACCGGAGUGGACGAACCUCUGGUGUUCCGGUUGUCACGCCAGUGGCAUUGCCGGGUAGCUAUGUUCGGAAAAGAUAACCGCUGAAAGCAUCUAAGCGGGAAACUUGCCUCAAGAUGAGAUCUCACUGGGAACUUGAUUCCCCUGAAGGGCCGUCGAAGACUACGACGUUGAUAGGCUGGGUGUGUAAGCGUUGUGAGGCGUUGAGCUAACCAGUACUAAUUGCCCGUGAGGCUUGACU
rnacentral:rRNA from 1 species